rnacentral:rRNA from 1 species
GAUGAACGCUAGCGGCAGGCCUAAUACAUGCAAGUCGAACGGUAAGUAUUUUAGCAAUAGAAUACGAGAGUGACGUACGGGUGCGUAACACGUAUGCAACCUACCCUUUACAGGAGGAUAGCUCGGGGAAACUCGAAUUAACCCUCCAUGAGAUCACAGUGUGGCAUCACACAGUGAUUAAAACUCCGGUGGUAAAGGAUGGGCAUGCGUCUGAUUAGUUAGUUGGCGGGGUAACGGCCCACCAAGACGAUGAUCAGUAGGGGAACUGAGAGGUUGAUCCGCCACACUGGCACUGAGAUACGGGCCAGACUCCUACGGGAGGCAGCAGUAGGGAAUAUUGGUCAAUGGAUGGAAGUCUGAACCAGCCAUGCCGCGUGCAGGAAGAAGGCCUUCUGGGUUGUAAACUGCUUUUGCCAGGGGAUAAAAAGACCAAUGCGUGGUUAAUUGAAGGUACCUGGUGAAUAAGCCACGGCUAACUACGUGCCAGCAGCCGCGGU